GCAAACUUGGUCAUUUAGAGGAAGUAAAAGUCGUAACAAGGUUUCCGUAGGUGAACCUGCGGAAGGAUCAUUAAUGAAAUAUUGCCAGUGGGUUGAUGCUGGUGGUGUUAAAGCCACAUGUGCUCGCCUCUGCAUUUUCUUAUCCAUACACCUGUGCACCUCUGAGGGUUUAAUGCUGAAUGGUGCUUUUUGUGCCAUGCAGUGUUGACCUUCAUUCAACUAUAAACACUAUUUUGAUACAUGAACGUGAUUGUGCCGCAAGGCCAUAAACUUAUACAACUUUUAACAACGGAUCUCUUGGCUCUCGCAUCGAUGAAGAACGCAGC
rnacentral:misc_RNA from 1 species